rnacentral:lncRNA from 1 species
CAUAGAGUGACUCAAUAACUUAAUCCCCCUAUAGUUAUUGCAACACUGAAUGUCCCCCUUAUUCUUAUAGAGGGGGAUCAUGGUACUCCACCUCCACGCCUCGGGCAUCUUUGCCGUCCUGAAAAUUUCAUUGAACAAUGCAGUCAACCACCUUACACCAGCCUCUCCAACGAACUUCCAAAACUCCACCGGUAUCUCAUCCGGCCCCGUCGCCCUACCCCUUCGCAUCCUGCGGACUGCCUGUCUAACCUCAUCUACCUUAAAACGUCUACAAUAGCUAAAAUCCCGACACUCCCCUGAGUGCUCCAGUUCCCCUAACACAAUAGCUCUGUCCCCCUCGUCAUUCAAGAGCC